GUCCCUGUAGAGCAAUUGAUAACGCGUUGGACAUCUAAUCCAAAGAUCGUGGGUUCGAAUCCCAUCUGGGAUG
rnacentral:tRNA from 1 species